CUUUCAUUGCUUGGUUUGUGCAUUUUGUCCAGUUCCUUGUUCAAAAUGCCAAGAACCUGGAUGACUCAUAGUCAAGACCCUCCACCAGUAACAUAUAUUGGCGAGCCAGCCAGGAGCUUGGAACCCUCGGUGGACAGUGCCUAAGCACAGAGGCAACCACAGGUUUCUAACAGGGCCACUCUCUGGUGAAACUGAAAGGUUUCUGUGUGAAAGUGCCUGACCACCACUGCCCAAUUCAGACCACUACAGGAAACACUCCAUUUAUUCCACCUGACUUCCCACUUGGCUGCAUCCUCAACCAUUGAAAUGAAUUUGACCCUGAUAAUCUAAGGAGGAAACAUUUGAUAUUCUUUUGCAAUAAUACUUGGCCCCAGUAUUGUUUGGAAUCUGGAGUUUGCUGUUGAAUGGGAAAGCAGGAUGACGUUGCAUGUAUCCAGGCUUUGGUGCUGCUGUCCUAAGAAGGGUCAGGCCUAGUCAGCAUAUGGUGCUCUCCUUUGGUGCUAUUUGGCUCCAGUGUCUUUGGAGUCUGAGGAGGUUUGGCCUUUAAAAAUCAAACUGCCACCGGAACUGCUUUAAAAAUGUUUGGUUCACAGCCUUCACUGGAUUACCUAUUGGAGCAAACAAAGUGUAACCAUGUAAAACCUGUGAGCUUGUAUUGAUAUCUCAUGGCUAGAGUUCCAAGGUAAAAGCUAUUGGAUCUUCGUUUGUGUGUGUGUAUACAUGUCUAGAUGUGUUUAUUUGUAUGUACACUUAUUGUUAUAUGUUGUGUCAACC
rnacentral:lncRNA from 10 species